CCAUCUCCGGCCGUCUCUAUAUCUGAUUCAGCUCCGACGAGUCAACCACCGUACCGCCACGAGCAGACCCAGCCGAAUCACCACCACCCCCGACGAGCCCAUCAAUCAUGUCGUCGAAUUGGCCAUCCUCAGGGAAAUGGCAGUGAAGCGGUUCGGGAAUGUUAUUAUGGUAUGAGAACAUAUCUAAGUACUUCAUGGACGAAGAAAAAUCCGGAAAGACAAUUCUUUGGAUGCGCUCAAUACGGCAAAGGCUCGCAUUGCAAGUAAUUUGAAUGGUUUGAACCACGCAUUUGUGAAUGUGGCGGCAAGCUUGUAUACGAGAUGAGGGUGAGGAUUAAGAUUAUGGAAGAAGAACUUCGUAAACGAGCAAAAAAAGAGAAGCGAUCAAAUGUCCUUUGUUUGUGUCAUGGGGAUUAUCUGUUGCACUUUUGUUUGCUUUUGUGUUCGUUUUAGAUCACGUUUGUUUAUGUAGUAGCAACAUAUUAAAUUGGUCAUGAUUGUAUAUAAGCGUGGAUGCCUUUUGUUCUAUGUAAUUACAUGUAAUUUUAAAACUUUUGCUUUAUUUAUAAAUGCCUAGGUAGAAAAUCCAAUCCUAA